rfam:Triticum urartu cultivar G1812 contig1060742, whole genome shotgun sequence.
UUUCUACUCCCUCCGUCCGAAAAUACUUGUCAUCAAAAUGGAUAAAAAGAGAUGUAUCUAAAACUAAAAUACGUCUAGAUACAUUUCCUUUUAUCCAUUUUGAUGACAAGUAUUUCCGGACGGAGGCAGUAUUUG